rnacentral:misc_RNA from 1 species
UUUUUAAAUAAAAAUAAAAUAAAAUAAAAUAAAAUAGAUAAAAUCUAAAGUUUGCACAAAUUUCAGUACAUUAACCUUAGUUGAAUUAUCAUCAUUAUUAAUAUAGCUCUAGCAAAAUGGAAAUGCUAGGGUACAAAUUGCAGGCCAUUAGCCUUUAGAUGCAUUUCACAGCUCUAGACCAAGCUACUAGAUGGAGCUGCUGGUUGUUGUUGAGUGAUGCAAUGAACAUUGCCACCACCCAAAACGAUCUCCCUUGCACCUUCAAUUCUCACCACCUCAUGAUUUGGGAAAGCCUGAGAGAGGACACGGACAGCUUCGUCAUCCCACUUCUGGUCCCCAUAUUGAGGUGUGAUGAUCCCUCCGUUGGCAAUAUAGAAGUUUACAUAAGAUGCAGCAAGUCUUGUGUUUGGUGGUCUCGGUUUAGCCUCACCAUCUUGAAUAACUCCAGCAGAUUCUUCCUCCGUCAUAUAUAGUGGCCCUGGAACAUGGAGUUUAAUUAUCUGGAAUUUCCUUCCUUUAGCAUCAGUAGCAUUGGAGAGAACAGUGAAGGCUUCCAUGGAUCGUUCAAACUGAAAAUCCUUUUCAUCAUCAGUCCAUGACAGUAAAACUGUACCAGGCCUUACAAAGCAGCACAUAUUGUCAAUAUGACCGUUAGUGUCAUCAUCACCAUAUAAUCCACGAGGCAGCCAAAUAACCUUCUGGACUCCAAGAUAUUCCUUAAGUUGAUUUUCUAUUUGUUCUUUGGUUAAAUCUGGAUUCCGGUUUUUAUUCAAGAGGCACUCCUCAGUAGUAAGGCAUGUCCCUUCUCCAUCUACAUGGAUGCUUCCACCUUCAAGAAUCAUGGAAUGAGGAAAUCGUGGAAGCUUCUCAAUUCCAAGAAUCUUCCUUGCCACAAGAAGGUCAAGACUCCAAUCUUGGUAACAACCAUCAUCAACCCCUCCCCAACUGUUAAAAUUCCAAUCAAUGCCUGCAACCUUUUGCUCUGGGGGACCAGAAUUUGAUGCAUUCACCACAAAAGUUGGCCCAGUAUCACGAAACCAAGAAUCAUUCAUGCUUAUCUCAAUAACUCUAAUAUGUUCUGGUAGAAGUCUUCGUGCAUUUUCCCACUGAGCUGCACUAGCACAGACAGUCACAGACUCAAACUUUGAAAUUGCUAUUGCAACCUCGGCAAAAAUACGUUGUGCAUGUACUGCAUUGUUUCUCCAGUUAUCUGCACGUUCAGGCCAACCCAUCCAAGUCUGAGAAUGGGGCUCCCACUCUGCAGGCAUUCGAUAUCCAUGGCGAACCGGUGUCCCUGCCACGUCACCCAUUUUCAGACACUCUCUCUCAAGCUAGAGACGAAAGCCAAGACUUGCGGACUCCAACGGGGAAAGAGAACAAAAUUUAUGCAC